AUUGAACGCUGGCGGCAGGCCUAACACAUGCAAGUCGAGCGGAUGAAGGGAGCUUGCUCCUGGAUUCAGCGGCGGACGGGUGAGUAAUGCCUAGGAAUCUGCCUGGUAGUGGGGGAUAACGUCCGGAAACGGGCGCUAAUACCGCAUACGUCCUGAGGGAGAAAGUGGGGGAUCUUCGGACCUCACGCUAUCAGAUGAGCCUAGGUCGGAUGAGCUAGUUGGUGGGGUAAAGGCCUACCAAGGCCACGAUCCGUAACUGGUCUGAGGGGAUGAUCAGUCACACUGGAACUGAGACACGGUCCAGACUCCUACGGGAGGCAGCAGUGGGGAAUAUUGGACAAUGGGCGAAAGCCUGAUCCAGCCAUGCCGCGUGUGUGAAGAAGGUCUUCGGAUUGUAAAGCACUUUAAGUUGGGAGGAAGGGAAGUAAGUUAAUACCUUGCUGUUUUGACGUUACCAAAAGAAUAAGCGCCGGCUAACUUCGUG
rnacentral:rRNA from 1 species